rnacentral:snRNA from 1 species
AUUUUUGUUACUGUUAAUAUGUUUAUCGAAAUGAGAACUAUACAGAGAAAAUUAGCAGGGCCCCUGCCCAAGGAUGACGCGCAAAUUCGGGAAACGUUCACAGUUCAU